rnacentral:tRNA from 1 species
GGGGUUGUAGCUCAGUGGUAGAGCGCUUGCUUCUCACAUGUGAGGCCCUGGGUUCGAUCCUCAGCACCA